CAGGCAGCCAACUGCUUACACACAGCCCAGCAGGCUCACUUGUCCAAGAGCUUAGAGAGAGCAGGAUGUUCUCUUGUUGUCCUUGGACUACUGAAGGCUCAGGCCUGAGGAAAGAUAAAAAUGAAGGUCAGGUAGGGACCUUGAAAUUCAUGAUUCUUUCUUGCCUACACUGUCUCUGGCCAUUUGCCCAGAAGGAUACAGACUUGACCCAGGACAACCAGGGCCAGGACUACGCAAACGAGGUAACCUCUCUGAACUCUUAGAGGUUUUACUAGUUUUGCUCAGGGUGUUACUAUUGAAGAAGACUUGUAAUGAUAAUAACCAAUGAGAAUGUUUUAGAAACCUGUGCUUGUCUGAACCAUCCAUCAUGAUGUCUCCUCAGGGUGAGCAUGAGUGUGCCCCAAAGGUCGUGACGGAGCCCUGUAGAGAGUCCCGCAUCAGUGCAGACAUGGUGGAAAAUCUGGUGAAUCGACUGGUGUCAUCUCUGCAGGAUGGGGACCCCUCCUUUGUCCCUGCCUUCCUGUACACUUACCAACAGUUCACCACCACACAGCAUGCGCUGGAUCUGCUGUUGAAGAGGUUUGCCUACUUCUACCUGGAUUGUGAAGAGGAUAAACACAUAAAGAGGCAAGUGGGCUUUGUAGAAAGAGGAAGGAUUUGGGUCUCCGGUGUGGGGCAUUUGGGUUCCUAGGGUAAGGAUGGCCAAUGUUUUGGUCUGGUUCUUCUCCUGGGUUCUAGUACCAUAACGUGGUCCAAGCAGUGCCUGCGGGAUGAGAAUUGCAUGGGCAUGGUUCUUCCCAGUGGUGAGAUGGGGAAGCCAGGGGCCUCAAGUGCUGCUGUGAGACUCUACGCACAUACCAGCUCAUGCCAGGAGGCUUGUUCAGCUGUUCUCCACUAGAGGUUGACAGUGAGGUGUGUGAGGUUCCUUGCUCACUAGGACCUCACAGCUCUGCCCACCGUUCUCAUCUGCAUAGGGCUGGAUCUCUUCCUUGCAGUCCUUCCUGUAGGCAGAAGCCAUGGGAGGGUUGUAGAAGGAAAGGCCUGCUCAUAGCCUGUUGUGCAUCCCCUCUCCCCAGCACUCUCUGUUGCUUCCUGGACACAUGGAUAGACCAAUACCCUGAGGAGUUUAGUCAGACCAUUCUGAAAAAGUUGAAGACCUACUUGACUGUGAACAUGCCCUCCUCCGAUCUGAAUGUCCGUGUCCAUAUGCUCCUCAAGGAGUUGCGGCAAGAGUCCAAUGAGUCAGAGGGAAAAGGUGAAGACUCAGUUUCACUGCCCGUUACCUUUCUCUACAAGACUGAAUCGGCUGCAGAUUUGUCUUCAUCUGUAGAAGUGAGGAGCUACACCUCUGGAGAUUUAGAGAUGGAAGCGUGGUUUCCGUCAGGGAACGUGCAGCCAGAACCAGCUUAUCUGCAAGAGACAGAGACCCUAGAAUCCACCAUAAAGGUCAUCUCUUGGGACUAGAUGGGACAGCAGCAGCCCAGCCAGCAUACGGGCUAGCAGCUGUGGAACCUGUGUCUCACCGUGUCAGCCGACACAAUGUCCUUCUUGCAUCUUCUCCCCUUCUCGACCUUGUCCUAUCUCCUUAGAGAAUGACCCUGUCAUUAUCACCUGAGGGGUCUCUUAUAUCUGCUCUGCAGACAGCACCUGUCUGACGUACUGGCAGAACCAUUCCCCGAUUUCAAUAUAGCAACUUCCCUUGCCCCACAGCCAGCCCUCACCUCCCCCUGAGAAAUGGCCUUUUUACUUCUGUGGUUCUUUUUAUGUUGCUUUUCUUUUAAGUAUUUGUUUUAAUAAAUUGUUAGUACUCCUUUUUUGUUGAUUACUUGUGGUUAUGGUGUCCACUCAGCAGGCUUGUACUGGGCAUAAACAGUCUACCAAGGAGACCACACUGCUCCUGUGAGAGGCUCCAUGGAGAGAGACCAUCUUGGAGGAUGGGAGGUGCAAGUGACUGCUUUGACAGAGAUCAGGUCUAUGCCUGAGAGUGGUGCUAGACAUACAGGUCGUUGGGGCUGACUGCACUUUGCUGGGGUCCUAAGGCUAAGGUCAUGUGCUGAGGUCAGACUGACCAGGUGCCCUUGAAAGUGGUUUCUGCUUUCGUUUCAGGCUCCUGAAACUGAGUAGCCGCGCUAUGUCAGGGUCUGAAGGGGGCGUGUCAUGCUACACUGUUUACACCAUUUUGAUUUUCUUGAAGGAAUGGUUAACUUCCACGGUGGUGGACCAUGUAGGCUUACAUUUUUCAGAACUUUACUAAGUGUACGUAAAUGCUUUAACUUCCCUUCUGGCUCACCACUCGCCAGAAG
rnacentral:lncRNA from 1 species